CAGCGUCAUCCCAUCUCAUCUGCUUGUGUGAAGGACAGGGGCCCUGGAGGAGCUGCUCCCCUGCGGGUUCAGUGGCUGCUCCGACACUGACGGCAUGGAAGGUCCUCGCUUGCCCUUACCUCUCCCUGUUCGGUUCCGUUCAUGAGCAGAUUUAAUUUUUGGUAGAUUCACGAAUCAAUUUCCCACAAGUUGGAGCUUUAUGUGGUUGCGACUAGGGAUUAUUGUAAUGCUAUUCGCUUUCACUGGAUGGCCGUGUGAAUGAAAUUACAUGUGUUAGUCAAAUGAGCAAAUUAGAUGACCCCCCAUGCCUACAAGCCUUCUUGGGUUAAAAUUAAAUGGUUUAUUGAUGUCUAGUUUUUGUAUGUUCUGGUUGGUUGUGAAACACAUGCGGUUUUUCUAGGCCGAUUCAGUUUUUUGGUUCUGUCUUGUUCUAGCCUUCUAGGUCGAUUCAGUUUUUCAUUUUCUCUCUUUAUGAUUUAAACACGAACUGCAGAUCCAGUAUCUGUUUGAUCAUCCAUGUGCCAUAUAUAUAUAUGGAGCUGUCUGUAGCAUUUGAUCACUACUACUACUAGUUGCAGCAACUAGUAGUGCCUUAACAAUGGGCUCUCUCUGGAAAACAAGUCUUCUUGAGGAGAAAUCUAACUGUACUAAGUACCAGCACAUGUUAUCAGAAUGGUAGCUUGUAUUGCUGCAGAGCCCAUUUCUAUCCUGGAAAGCAUGGAUUCUGAAGGAUAUGUAUAAUGGGACGUCAAACCUGAGAACUUUCAUCUCAGCCAGCCUGGAACUCCUGAAGAAAAGAAACCUUUUCUUGUAGAUCUUGGAUUAG